rnacentral:misc_RNA from 1 species
UUCUUAGUUACGGCAGCUGCUGCAGAAGCUGGGAUGACCUCAGCUCCCUUCAAAACACAAUUCUGAAGUACCACAUAAAUUUUAUUGCAGUCAUUGCAACAAAACCAUUUAUCUUUCGGGAGUUCUUUCAGAUCACACCUCCCACUUUCCCGCAGACACCCAACAUGGUAUUCCUUCUCACACUGAUCACAGAGCAUAACUGUCCGAUCAUCAAAUUUGGCAACGCUGAAGUCCGGGGUCCUGCAAACAACACAUCCACCACUUUCAGAUUCUGGAGCUUUAACCACUCUUGUCAACCGUAUCAUAAUUGGUCCAGCAUCUCCAGCAGUUUUCCUACCAGGGACAAAUUUGUCUCUACAAUAUGAACAGAGCCAACCACUAGUCGGGGUACACUGUAGACCUAUACAAGCUGCAUGAAAAGCCCGAGGACACCCUUCACAGCAAAUCAGAUCUCCAGCAUCGCCACAUAUUGUACACAUAUCAUCGCUGUUAUUGGUGGCAAUACUUUGACCAUUUGCCAGCAUUAAUGCUAUAUCAUGUAGGGUAAGUCCGUUGGAUGUGUAGAUGUGACGGUAGGGUUGACGUUUAGCUGCACAUCCAGCAUGAGACUCAAACUGGGAAGGACUUAUCUCAGUAUCACAGCAGCUGCAGACUAUGCCAUUCCCCUGCUUGUAGCCCCCCAGAACUUUCUUCCCCUUAGAAUAAUAUGCCAAAUCAGUACCAUCGGGAAGUCCAUUUGGCAUGAACAGUGAUCGGUGCAAGUCAUUAUCCCUUUUUUUUGUGCCACCUUCUGCAGGUUUCUUUG